rnacentral:pre_miRNA from 1 species
AGGGGAAUAGCUGGGUUGAAUGGUGGUUCCAUUCCCAGCUUUCUGAGGAAUCUCCACACUGAUUUCCAAAUUGGUUGCACCAAUUUGCAGUCCCACCAGCAAU